GAUAGUUAUUAUGGGCCGCAACUUUGAAUUGUUCAAUUUGGACGUGUCCAUUGAUUAGAGGGUCUUUGGUUUUCAUAUGAAGUGUCUCUUGGGUGUAAAAGAAGAUGUUUAAUUAUGGGUGCAAGGGCUCCAAUAGUUGGCACCAAUAAGGGUUCCUAAUAUAAGUUGGAUAACUUAAGAAAAUAGGAAACACAAUACAAGUAGGACUUAUACUUUGAGAUUGAAUAUGAUUCAAUCUUUGUGCCCGUAAAAGGAGACCACCCCUA
rnacentral:lncRNA from 1 species